rnacentral:ncRNA from 1 species
GUUCUUCGGGGUAGGGUGAAAUUCCCAAUCGGCGGUGAUGAAGCAAUUCAAAGUCCGUGAGCGCAAGCUGAUUUGGUGCAAAUCCAAAACCGACAGUGAUAGUCUGGAUGGGAGAAGAA